rnacentral:tRNA from 13 species
CGCGGGGUGGAGCAGCUCGGUAGCUCGCUGGGCUCAUAACCCAGAGGUCGCAGGUUCAAAUCCUGUCCCCGCAAC